rnacentral:rRNA from 1 species
GACGAACGCUGGCGGCGUGCUUAACACAUGCAAGUCGAACGGAAAGGCCCUGCUUUUGUGGGGUGCUCGAGUGGCGAACGGGUGAGUAACACGUGAGUAACCUGCCCUUGACUUUGGGAUAACUUCAGGAAACUGGGGCUAAUACCGGAUAGGAGCUCCUGCUGCAUGGUGGGGGUUGGAAAGUUUCGGCGGUUGGGGAUGGACUCGCGGCUUAUCAGCUUGUUGGUGGGGUAGUGGCUUACCAAGGCUUUGACGGGUAGCCGGCCUGAGAGGGUGACCGGCCACAUUGGGACUGAGAUACGGCCCAGAAUCCUACGGGAGGCAGCAGUGGGGAAUAUUGCACAAUGGGCGGAAGCCUGAUGCAGCAACGCCGCGUGCGGGAUGACGGCCUUCGGGUUGUAAACCGCUUUCGCCUGUGACGAAGCGUGCGUGACGGUAAUGGGUAAAGAAGCACCGGCUAACUACG